CCUACGGGUGGCAGCAGUGAGGAAUAUUGGUCAAUGGGCGCGAGCCUGAACCAGCCAAGUAGCGUGAAGGAUGACUGCCCUACGGGUUGUAAACUUCUUGUAUAAAGGAAUAAAGUGAGGCACGUGUGCCUUUUUGUAUGUACUUUAUGAAUAAGGAUCGGCUAACUCCCUGCCAGCAGCCGCGGUACUACGGAGGAUCCGAGCGUUAUCCGGAUUUAAUGGGUUUAAAGGGAGCGUAGAUGGGUUGUUAAGUCAGUUGUGAAAGUUUGCGGCUCAACCGUAAAAUUGGAAUUGAUACUGGCAGCCUUGAGUACAGGUGAGGUAGGCGGAAUUCGUAGUGUAGCGGUGAAAUGCGUAGAUAUCACGAAGAACUCCGAUUGCGAAGGCAGCUUACUAAACUGCCACUGACAUUGAUGCUCGAAAGUGUGGGUAUCAAACAGGAUUAGAUACCCCUGUAGUC
rnacentral:rRNA from 1 species